CUGAAUUAUGAAGACCACCAAUGAAGAUGUUUGCCUUUGGUACCUGUUUCUCUCUCAGGUGUGAGCUGAAGGUGACCACAGAACAGCCUGGCAGCAGAAUUGCAGAACCAUCUCUCCCACUACGGACCUAAUUAGAACCUUCCGCUGACCCCCGGUGAGCGCCGAGAAGAUGCCACACGCCUCGGCUGUCAUGGAAACAAGACGGUCCCGUCCUGAGAGCGGUUUCCUUACAGAGUGAAUCAUGUUCCGGCUCACAGAUACAAAUGAAGUCUGCGGUCGCCCUCUUGUAGUGAUCCGUUUUCCCCUCCGGUCAUGAGAGCAGAUAUGGCAGUUCAUAACACAGCAAGCGUUCUACAUUCUAAUGUGUUUUUAACUGGAUAAUAUACAUUUAAACAUCUACCUCC